UCAAAGGCUACACUGACUGCGGAAGGCUUUCCAGCAAGAUUUGUUGCGACAUCCUUGAAAUUCAUAUUUUGUUAGUCAUUUCUUUGAAAAACUCAUUCGCAAUAGCCCACACUAUUGCAGGAAAGCACACGCUACCAUGGAUCACAUUUGGCAUCCUCAACUGUGACUUGGACGUCUGCCAUCAUUGCUUUGGAGUUAGCUAGUUAGCUUGCUAAUGCUAUCUAGCUAGGUGAUAUCGCAGCACGUUGAGAUUCUUGAAACUUGAGGCCCUCUUGUCAAGUACAGUACCAUGGCUCCCAAAGACAUCAUGACCAACUCCCAUGCCAAAUCCAUCCUCAAUGCCAUGAACGCACUUCGUAAGAGCAACACACUCUGUGACAUCACUUUGAGAGUGGAGAAUACUGACUUUCCUGUGCACCGCAUUGUCCUGGCAGCCUGCAGUGACUACUUCUGCGCCAUGUUCACCAGCGAGCUGUCAGAGAAAGGGAAAUCCUUCGUAGACAUUCAGGGGUUGACUGCGUCCACCAUGGAGAUCCUGCUGGACUUUGUUUACACAGAGACAGUCCUGGUCACAGUGGAGAAUGUCCAGGAACUGCUUCCUGCUGCCUGUCUGCUGCAGCUCAAAGGAGUGAAAAGAGCAUGUUGUGACUUUCUGGAUAGUCAGCUUGAUCCCACAAACUGCCUGGGCAUUCGGGACUUUGCUGAGACCCACAAUUGCCUUGACCUGAUGCAGGCCGCUGAGCUCUUCUCUCAGAAGCACUUCCCUGAGGUUGUUCAACAUGAGGAGUUUAUGCUGCUCUGCCAGAACGAGGUUGAAAAACUAGUUAAAUGCGAUGAAAUCCAGGUGGACUCAGAGGAGCCUGUAUUCGAGGCAGUGUUGAAUUGGGUUAAACACAAUAGGAAAGAGAGGGAGACGUAUUUAUCGGAGAUGCUGGAGCAUGUGCGGAUGCCUUUGCUCACUCCGCGCUAUAUCACAGACGUUAUCGACUCAGAGCCCCUCAUUCGAUGCAGUCUUCCCUGUCGAGACCUUGUGGAUGAGGCCAAGAAAUUUCACCUUAGACCUGAGCUGAGGAGUGAGAUGCAGGGGCCACGCACCCAAGCCAGAUUAGGUGCCAAGGAGGUCCUGCUCGUUAUUGGAGGAUUCGGCAGUCAACAAUCCCCUAUAGAUAUUGUUGAGAAGUAUGAUCCUAAAACUCAGGAGUGGAGCUUUUUACCUAACAUUGCUCGGAAAAGGCGUUACGUGGCUACCGUGUCCCUCAAUGACCGCGUGUAUGUGAUUGGCGGCUACGAUGGUCGAUCGCGGCUUAGCUCGGUGGAGUGCUUGGACUACACGGCCGACGAGGAUGGUAUCUGGUACAACGUCGCCACUAUGAAUGUACGGCGGGGCCUUGCCGGGGCGACAACACUCGGAGAUAUGAUCUAUGUUGCUGGAGGCUUUGAUGGUAGUCGCCGUCACACCAGCAUGGAACGAUAUGACCCCAAUAUUGACCAGUGGAGUAUGUUGGGGGACAUGCAGACAGCCAGGGAAGGGGCUGGCCUAGUGGUGGCUAGUGGACUCAUAUACUGUCUAGGUGGGUACGACGGAUUGAACAUCCUCAAUUCAGUGGAACGGUAUGACCCUCACACAGGACACUGGACUAAUGUUACCCCCAUGGCUACCAAACGCUCAGGGGCCAGUGUAGCCUUGCUCAACGACCACAUCUAUGUGGUGGGAGGCUUCGAUGGAACAGCGCAUCUUGACUCGGUGGAGUUUUACAACAUUAGGACAGACUAUUGGACCACGGUAGCCAGUAUGACCACUCCCCGCUGCUACGUGGGAGCUACUGUCCUCCGGGGACGACUCUACGCCAUAGCUGGACAGAUGAGAAACAAAUGGGGGAGACAGGUGAAGAGGAGAUACAGAGUCAAGGGAGGACACAGGGAUUGAACCCCGGUCUCCGGCUGAGAGUUGUACAUGUGCAUAGAGCCAGGAGUGUUACCAUCCGACCACGACUCUGUACCCAACUUCAGUAUUGACAGAGAUAUAGAUGCAUUUUGGUUGGGAUUAUUCAUAUAAAUUAUGUAUGAUGGAAACUCCCUUCUGAGCAGUAUCGAGUGUUACGACCCAGUGAUUGACAACUGGGAGGUGGUCACCUCCAUGGCCACACAGCGCUGCGAUGCAGGAGUGUGUGUCCUGCGAGAAAAGUGAGAUUUACCUCAGAAAAGUCGGAUGAAGCGGAAGAGGGCAGGCAGCUAGUCCUGAACCUGAAUUUGAUAUUUAUGUGCCACUACUAUGGAGUGACACAGGGAUCACUCACUUGCAGCCAGUGUGCUAUAUGCCCUCUCUGAAGUCUCUUGAUUGAUUAUUUAUCAGACUUUCUCAUCUGAGUUUGGUUACUUCUAUGGGAAAACCCUUGGCAUUCAAUGGAUAAGGGACAGGGGGUGUAUAGCAGAGAGUUAUUUCAGUCUCCUCAUCAACAGUUGUGGCAUCCAAGAAGACAUCCAUCCCAACCCACUCGAUCGCAUGACACUCUUUUAGUGGUUCCCGUUGUAGUGGUUACCUGUGAGGUACAUUUUUGACUAAUCUUUUAAAGUGCAAUAUAUUUCUCUACUUCUGUUAUGAACCAUGGAGCAGAAGAAACACAAGAGACUCCAGUUUGCUGCUGCUAUAUGCCUUAUGCCCCUGUGGCCCACAUUGAACCUAACAACCAUGAUGCCUCAUUAGGACUGUGAUGAUUGUUGUCAUACCAUCAAGUAUGAUGAUUAUUUAGCUUUUGCCAGGUUAUCAAUUAGAAAACCCUUUGUAGAUUUUGUUAUUAUGUAUAAAGUGCUUUUAGAAACAAAUCACUUUUUUGAAUAAUUGGUAUUUGCCUGACACAGUCAUUAUUUUCAAUGUAUCAAAGACAUUUUGAAAUGAAUUACAUUUUAGGGAAAGCGUUUCAUAAUCGCACAUGAUUCCUUGCUCUUUUGCUGUUCUGUCAUCUUGUCAAAAUCACUUUGUCCCCAGCGACAGACUGAAGAACACUGCUAAUAAAGCAAAAGAGCAAAAAGUAUUUUUUUGAUGUGUGUAUGGUGCAUGCAUUUGUCCACAGUGGAUUUGUUUGGACAAAAAAAAAACUGAUGUCUUUUGUUGUUACUUGAAAAGUGAAUAAACAUUGUGAUAAUUUA